ACAAGAGGUAAAUGAAUCGAAACUUUCGUAAAUUAAUUCGAGCAUGUUUUGUGUGAAUUAUAAUUUAUGAGCAUGAGUAAUACGUGAUUACAUGUUUCGAUUUUGUGAAAUGAAGUAUAAGCAUGUUUCGUGAUUUUCGGUUUUACGUAUUUUUCAAUUAAAUCGAAAAUUACCAUAUGUAUGGCGGAAGCGUUAAGGUACGUUGACUAUGUGAUUAGUUUAUGCAUGUAAUCGAAAUUAGUUCGAUCUAAAAUUUUUUUAAAUUCCGCUGCGUAUACAUGCACGAUCCCCAACAGUGGUAUCAGAGCCACGGGUUUAAUCGUUUAUUUGUCAACGUGUUUAUCGUUUUCGAAAGCAUGCUUCGAUUUGUUGAAUUGUUGAAUUUUUGGUGUUAUCAAAUUGGGUGGUUUAAUAUUAAUUAAAUAUUUUGAAUAUUUCAGAAAAUAUAAAAAUUUUAAAUUUUGAAAAAAAAUUCGUUUUUGCUGCUGUUUUUCCCCAGCUGACCGAACCGGUCCGGUCGAACCGGUCCGACCGGUCCGGUCAGCACAAACAAAAAAAAAAAAAAAAAAAAAAAUUUAUUUGAUUUUCUGAGAAUUAAUAUUAAAAUUAAUUGAUUUUUAAUUUUUGAAAUUAUUUAUCAAUUAAACCCAAUUAGAUAAUUGAUCCAUUAAUUUAAUUUGAAUUCAAAGAAUAGUGUUGGAUUAAUUAUUUAAUUUAAUCGUUAAAUUAGUUUAAUUAAUGAAACACAAAUUGGAUGGCAAAUAAUUAAUGGGCUUCAUUCUUAUUUGAAUGAUUUAUGAAUGAAGGAGGUCCGUUAAUUAUAUUUGCAAUUUAUCGUAUUAAUUAAUUAAUUCAUGAGAUGAAUAAUUGUGAUUAAAUACGAUGAUGAUCGUAUGUCUCUCUUAGGAUCAAUAUGCGUUUCCACAUACCUAGAGAACAUAGUUGUAGGAAUCACAAACGAUCAUAACCUAAAACUUCCGAUGAGCUAAUAAGAUUUAAAAACAAAAUCCCUCAUUCUUAAUCAAGAAUAAUUAUCAAGCUAUAAAGAAAAACCAAAUUGUUGAAUUUUUCUUUCCUUCUACCAACAAUUAAAUUAUGUGUAGCCUCUCAUAAUAGUGCAGUAAGCCGUGUUAGCGGGGAGUGCUAUUGUGGGAUAAGCUGUAAUUUAAUUGACAUUAGAUGGAGAUACGGUCAUAGAUAAAAUUAUGUUGGAUUAAUGUGGUCGGCUAGAUUAACUAGGGAUUGCAUUAGUUUGAUAUAGUUGGAUCUAUGACAUCUCAUAUUGGUAGGCUAGACUUGACACACGAAGAUUUUGAUAUUCGCUAGAUUAACUUAGGUCAUUAUCAAGUGUGAGGUAAAUCGAUCUUUAGGGUCACAUAGUGAUGUGAUUGAUAGUACUCUACCUUUAGGCUUAUGUAAUCGGGAUAGAUUAACUACGGGUUACAUUAGCGCUAUUGGACCUAAAGCCCAUUAAAGAAAAAUAAGUUUUCUCGAUUGUCUGCUAGAGGGUGGUGGAAUUCGAUAAAAUUAGUGGGAGAACAAUUAAAACAUAAAAGUCCAAAAUUUUAAUUGUAACAAUUAUUACGAACUAAACUCUAAUUAUUGUCUUCUUAAAAUUUUCUCAGCAACAAUGUCCAAACAUCCCCUUUCCUCAAUCCUCGACCAAAACAAACUCACCGGUCCAAACUAUUUGGAUUGGCUUCGCAAUCUGAAACUUGUGCUCCAAGUCGAGGAGCGUCUCUAUGUGCUCAAUGAACGUCCCCCCGCUGCUCUUCCUGCGACUGCUACUGCUGACGAGACUGCCACUUUCGAGGCAUGGAAGAAGGACGACCUCCAUGCGAGGUGCUACAUGCUAGCAUCCAUGGUGCCAGAGCUCGCGAGGAAGUAUGAGUCUCACGUGCAUGCUUAUGAUAUCAAGCACCAUCUUGAAAGCAUGUACAGUGAGAAUACUAGGGCAUCGAGGUACUCAACUACCAAGGAAUUGAUCACCAUGAGGCUGCGUGAAGGGGCUUCGGUCCACGAACACGGUCUCAAGAUGAUCACUCUCCUUGAGAAGUUGGUGAACCUCGAUGUCACCCUCCCGGCCGAGCUCUCGGUGGAUUUGAUCCUACUGUCCCUUCCUAGUUCUUAUGAAUCGUUCAUAGUGAACUUCAACAUGAACAAGCUCGAUCCACCAUUGGAUGAGUUGUUGAACAUGUUGGUCAGCUAUGAGUCCACGAUCAAGAAGGAGAAAUCAGUUCUCCUAGUUGCUCCUUCUGCAAAGAAAGGUUCUUUCCAGAAGAAAAGGAAAGAAAGAAGUUUCGGCCCGAGCAAGAAACUUGAGAAGGGCGAGUCGAGCGGAGUGAAGAAUGACAAGGUCACCAAGCAAGUUGAUGACGCUUGCCAUCAUUGUAGAAAGAAGGGCCAUUGGCGACGCAACUGCAAGGCUUACCUCGAUCAGAAACGUUCUGAAAAGGGUACGUAUUUAGUUGAAGUUAACUUGUCCGUUAAAUCUUCUGCUUGGGUAUUGGAUACUGGUUGUGGCUCACAUCUUUGUAAUGAUUUGCAGCUCAUGACAAGAAGUAGGAGGCUUAAUGUGGGUGAGACCUACCUAAGAAUGGGCAACGGAGCAAGGGUUGCUGCUGAAGCCAUUGGGACAAUUUAUCUUUCUGUUUUGGAUUCUAGUUUUUCCAUUGUUUUGAACAAUUGUUUAUUUGUUCCGUCACUUAUUCGAAACCUUAUUUCUAUUCCUGUUUUGGAUAAUGAAGGUUUUACUUUUGUUUUUGGAAAUUCGAUUUGCAUUAUACAAAAGGAACAAAAUAUGAUUUGUAAGGGACAACUUAUAAACAACUUAUAUGAACUAAAUCCAAGUGAAAUACCUAUUAACGUUAUAUCAGCAAAACGAAAAGAUAUAAGUCUUAACCCCGCACAACUUUGGCACGCUCGACUAGGUCACAUUUCCUUGAGAAGGAUGAACAAGUUUGUUAGUGAAGGAAUGUUCUCCUUGGAGGACGUUAAAUCACUUCAAACUUGUAUAUCCUGCCUUAAAGGAAAAAUGACCAAGACUCCCUUCAAAGGGAAGAUGCAACGGGCCGAGGGUCUUUUGGAUUUGAUCCAUUCAGACGUGUGUGGUCCACUAAGCGUUAGUGCUAGGGGUGGUUUUAACUACUUCGUUACCUUUACCGAUGAUUAUUCUAGGUAUGGUUUCGUGUACUUAAUGAAGUAUAAGUCUGAAACUUUUGAAAGGUUCAAAGAUUUUAGACACCAAGUAGAAAACCAACUCGGUAGACGUAUUAAGAAACUACGAUCCGAUCGUGGUGGCGAAUACUUAAGUACUGAGUUUAUAGACUAUCUUAAAGAGAAUGGGAUUCUGUCUCAGUGGACUCCUCCUGGAACUCCUCAACUUAAUGGAGUUUCCGAACGUCGGAAUCGAACACUAUUAGACAUGGUUCGAUCUAUGAUGGGGUUCACCGAGCUACCGGCAUACCUGUGGGGUCAUACACUCCUCACUGCCGUGUAUUUGCUGAAUAGGGUUAAUACCAAAGCAGUUAACUCCACACCUUAUGAACUUUGGCACUCCAAGAAACCCACGUUUAAACAUAUUAGGAUAACGCGCUCGUAUUUUUUAUUAUUUUUUUCGGCUCGGAAAAUUUUCGGACUUUCGGCACUGGCCCAGCCAAGGUGCUAGCAACUCUGCCCAAGGUGCUAGCACCUUGGCUGGGCCGGUGCCGAUAGUCCGAAAAUUUUCCCACCCGAAAAAAAUAAUAAAAUAUACGAGCGCGUAGGAAAUUGAAUUUGGCACGGUGAUUGUCGGGGCCGUUUUCUCAGAUUUCGAGAAUUGCUCCGAAAACGUCGGGAGCGACUAGUUUUUGGCAAGGUUGCUAGCACCUUGGGCAGAGUUGCUAGCACCUUGGCUGGGCCGGUGCUGAAUUUCCGAAAAUUUUCCGACCCGAAAAAAAUAAUAAAAAAUACGAGCGCGUAGGAAAUUGAAUUUGGCACAGUGGUUGUCGGGGCCGUUUUCUCCGAUUUCGAGAAUUGCUCCGAAAACGUCGGGAGCGACUAGUUUUUGGCAAGGUUGCUAGCACCUUGGGCAGAGUUGCUAGCACCUUGGCUGGGCCUGUGCCGAAAGUCUGAAAAUUUUCCGACCCGGAAAAAAUAAUAAAAAAUACGAGCGCGUAGGAAAUUGAAUUUGGCACGGUGGUUGUCGGGGCCGUUUUCUCAGAUUUCGAGAAUUGCUCCGAUAAUUUCGGGAACGACUAGUUUUUGGCAAGGUUGCUAGCACCUUGGCUGGGCCGGUGCCGAAAGUCUGAAAAUUUUCCGACCCGGGAAAAAUAAUAAAAAAUACGAGCGCGUAGGAAAUUGAAUUGGGCACUGUGAUUGUCGGGGCCGUUUUCUCCGAUUUCGAAUAUUGCUCCGAAAACGUCGGGAGCGACUAGUUUUUGGAAAGGUUGCUAGCACCUUGGGCAGAGUUGCUAGCACCUUGGCUGGGCCUGUGCCGAAAGUCUGAAAAUUUUACGACCCGGAAAAAAUAAUAAAAAAUACGAGCGCGUAGGAAAUUGAAUUUGGCACGGUGGUUGUCAAGGCCGUUUUCUCAGAUUUCGAGAAUUGCUCCGAAAAUUUCGGGAGCGACUAGUUUUUGGCAAGGUUGCUAGCACCUUGGGCAGAGUUGCUAGCACCUUGGCUAGGCCGGUGCCGAAAGUCUGAAAAUUUUCCGACCCGGAAAAAAUAAUAAAAAAUACGAGCGCGUAGGAAAUUGAAUUUGGCACGGUGGUUGUCGGGGCCGUUUUCUUAGAUUUUGAUAAUUGCUCCGAAAACGUCAGGAGAUACUAGUUUUUGGAAAGGUUGCUAGCACCUUGGGCAGUGUUGCUAGCACCUUGGCUGGGCCGGUGCCGAAAGUCCGAAAAUUUUCCGACCCGAAAAAAAUAAUAAAGAAUACGAGCGCUUAGGAAAUUGAAUUUGGCACGGUUGUUGUCAGGGCCGUUUUCUCAGAUUUCGAUAAUUGCUCCGAAAACGUCGGGAGAUACUAGUUUUUGGCAAGGUUGCUAGCACCUUGGGCAGAGUAGCUAGCACCUUGGCUGUGCCGGUGCCGAAAGUCCGAAAAUUUCCGACCCGAAAAAAAUAUAAAAAAAUCCGAGAGCGUAGGAAAUUGAAUUGGGCCCGGUGGUUGUCGGGGCCGUUAUAUCAGAUUUCGAGAAUUGCUCGAAAAUUUCGGGAGCGACUAGAUUUUGGCAAGGUUGCCAGCACCUUGGGCAGAGUUGCUAGCACCUUGGCUGGGCCGGUGCCGAAAGUCCGAAAAUUUUCCGACCCGAAAAAAAUAAUAAAAAAUACGAGCGUGUAGGAAAUUGAAUUUGGCACGGUGGUUGUCGGGGCCGUUUUCUCAUAUUUCGAGAAUUGCUCUGAAAACGUCGGGAGCGACUAGUUUUUGGCAAGGUUGCAAGCACCUUGGGCAGAGUUGCUAGCACCUUGGCUGGGCCUGUGCCGAAAGUCUGAAAAUUUUCCGACCCGGAAAAAAUAAUAAAAAAUACGAGCGCGUAGGAAAUUGAAUUUGGCACGGUGGUUGACGGGGCCGUUUUCUCAGAUUUCGAGAAUUGCUCCGAAAACGUCAGGAGAUACUAGUUUUUGGCAAGGUUGCUAGCACCUUGGCUGGGCCGGUGCCGAUAGUCCGAAAAUUUUCCCACCCGAAAAAAAUAAUAAAAAAUACGAGCGCGUAGGAAAUUGAAUUUGGCACGGUGGUUGUCGGGGCCGUUUUCUCCGAUUUCGAAUAUUGCUCCGAAAACGUCGGGAGCGACUAGUUUUUGGCAAGGUUGCUAGCACCUUGGGCAGAGUUGCUAGCACCUUGGCUGGGCCGGUGCCGAAAGUCUGAAAAUUUUCCGACCCGGAAAAAAUAAUAAAAAAUACGAGCGCGUAGGAAAUUGAAUUUGGCACGGUGGUUGUCGGGGCCGUUUUCUCAGAUUUCGAGAAUUGCUCCGAAAACGUCAGGAGAUACUAGUUUUUGGCAAGGUUGCUAGCACCUUGGGCAGAGUUGCUAGCACCUUGGCUGGGCCGGUGCCGAUAGUCCGAAUAUUUUCCCACCCGAAAAAAAUAAUAAAAAAUACGAGCGCGUAGGAAAUUGAAUUUGGCACGGUGGUUGUCGGGGCCGUUUUCUCAGAUUUCGAGAAUUGCUCCGAAAACGUCGGGAGCGACUAGUUUUUGGCAAGGUUGCUAGCACCUUGGGCAGAGUUGCUAGCACCUUGGCUGGGCCGGUGCUGAAUGUCCGAAAAUUUUCCGACCCGAAAAAAAUAAUAAAAAAUACGAGCGCGUAGGAAAUUGAAUUUGGCACGGUGGUUGUCGGGGCCGUUUUCUCCGAUUUCGAAUAUUGCUCCGAAAACGUCGGGAGCGACUAGUUUUUGGCAAGGUUGCUAGCACCUUGGGCAGAGUUGCUAGCACCUUGGCUGGGCCUGUGCCGAAAGUCUGAAAAUUUUACGACCCGGAAAAAAUAAUAAAAAAUACGAGCGCGUAGGAAAUUGAAUUUGGCACGGUGGUUGUCGGGGCCGUUUUCUCAGAUUUCGAGAAUUGCUCCGAAAAUUUCGGGAGCGACUAGUUUUUGGCAAGGUUGCUAGCACCUUGGGCAGAGUUACUAGCACCUUGGCUGGGCCGGUGCCGAAAGUCUGAAAAUUUUCCGACCCGGAAAAAAUAAUAAAAAAUACGAGCGCGUAGGAAAUUGAAUUUGGCACGGUGGUUGUCGGGGCCGUUUUCUUAGAUUUCGAGAAUUGCUCCGAAAACGUCAGGAGAUACUAGUUUUUGGCAAGGUUGCUAGCACCUUGGGCAGUGUUGCUAGCACCUUGGCUGGGCCGGUGCCGAAAGUCCGAAAAUUUUCCGACUCGAAAAAAAUAAUAAAGAAUACGAGCGCUUAGGAAAUUGAAUUUGGCACUGUUGUUGUCGGGGCCGUUUUCUCAGAUUUCGAUAAUUGCUCCGAAAACGUCGGGAGAUACUAGUUUUUGGCAAGGUUGCUAGCACCUUGGGCAGAGUUGCUAGCACCUUGGCUGGGCCGGUGCCGAAAGUCCGAAAAUUUUCCGACCCGAUAAAUAAAAAAAAAUACGAGAGCGUUGGAAAUUGAAUUUGGCACAGUGGUUGUCGGGGCCGUUUUCUCAGAUUUCGAGAAUUGCUCCGAAAAUUUCGGGAGCGACUAGUUUUUGGCAAGGUUGCCAGCACCUUGGGCAGAGUUGCUAGCACCUUGGCUGGGCCGAUGCCGAAAGUCCGAAAAUUUUCCGACCCGAAAAAAAUAAUAAAAAAUACGAGCGCGUAGGAAAUUGAAUUUGGCACGGUGGUGUCGGGGCCGUUUCUCAGAUUUCGAGAAUUGCUCCGAAAACGUCCGGAGCGACUAGUUUUUGCAAGGUUGCUAGCACCUUGGGUAGAGAUGCUAGCACCUUGGCUGGGCCGGUGCCGAAGUCCGAAUAUUUUCCGACCCGAAAAAAAUAAUAAAAAAUACGAGCGCGUAGGAAAUUGAAUUUGGCACGGUGGUUGUCGGGGCCGUUUUCUCCGAUUUCGAGAAUUGCUCCGAAAACGUCGGGAGCGACUAGUUUUUGGCAAGGUUGCUAGCACCUUCGGCAGAGUUGCUAGCACCUUGGCUGGGCCUGUGCCGAAAGUCUGAAAAUUUUCCGACCCGGAAAAAAUAAUAAAAAAUACGAGCGCGUAGGAAAUUGAAUUUGGCACGGUGGUUGUCGGGGCCGUUUUCUCAGAUUUCGAGAAUUGCUCCGAAAACGUCGGGAGAUACUAGUUUUUGGCAAGGUUGCUAGCACCUUGGGCAGAGUUACUACCACCUUGGCUGGGCCGGUGCCGAAAGUCCGAAAAUUUUCCGACCCGAAAAAAAUAAUAAAAAAUACGAGCGUGUAGGAAAUUGAAUUUGGCACAGUGGUUGUCGGGGCCGUUUUCUCCGAUUUCGAGAAUUGCUCCGAAAACGUCGGGAGCGACUAGUUUUUGGCAAGGUUGCUAGCACCUUGGGCAGAGUUGCUAGCACCUUGGCUGGGCCUGUGCCGAAAGUCUGAAAAUUUUCCGACCCGGAAAAAAUAAUAAAAAAUACGAGCGCGUAGGAAAUUGAAUUUGGCACGGUGGUUGUCGGGGCCGUUUUCUCAGAUUUCGAGAAUUGCUCCGAUAAUUUCGGGAACGACUAGUUUUUGGCAAGGUUGCUAGCACCUUGGCUGGGCCGGUGCCGAAAGUCUGAAAAUUUUCCGACCCGGGAAAAAUAAUAAAAAAUACGAGCGCGUAGGAAAUUGAAUUGGGCACUGUGAUUGUCGGGGCCGUUUUCUCCGAUUUCGAAUAUUGCUCCGAAAACGUCGGGAGCGACUAGUUUUUGGAAAGGUUGCUAGCACCUUGGGCAGAGUUGCUAGCACCUUGGCUGGGCCUGUGCCGAAAGUCUGAAAAUUUUACGACCCGGAAAAAAUAAUAAAAAAUACGAGCGCGUAGGAAAUUGAAUUUGGCACGGUGGUUGUCAAGGCCGUUUUCUCAGAUUUCGAGAAUUGCUCCGAAAAUUUCGGGAGCGACUAGUUUUUGGCAAGGUUGCUAGCACCUUGGGCAGAGUUGCUAGCACCUUGGCUAGGCCGGUGCCGAAAGUCUGAAAAUUUUCCGACCCGGAAAAAAUAAUAAAAAAUACGAGCGCGUAGGAAAUUGAAUUUGGCACGGUGGUUGUCGGGGCCGUUUUCUUAGAUUUUGAUAAUUGCUCCGAAAACGUCAGGAGAUACUAGUUUUUGGAAAGGUUGCUAGCACCUUGGGCAGAGUUGCUAGCACCUUGGCUGGGCCGGUGCCGAAAGUCCGAAAAUUUUCCGACCCGAAAAAAAUAAUAAAGAAUACGAGCGCUUAGGAAAUUGAAUUUGGCACGGUUGUUGUCAGGGCCGUUUUCUCAGAUUUCGAUAAUUGCUCCGAAAACGUCGGGAGAUACUAGUUUUUGGCAAGGUUGCUAGCACCUUGGGCAGAGUUGCUAGCACCUUGGCUGGGCCGGUGCCGAAAGUCUGAAAAUUUUUCGACCCGAAAAAAAUAAAAAAAAAUACGAGAGCGUAGGAAAUUGAAUUUGGCACGGUGGUUGUCGGGGCCGUUUUCUCAGAUUUCGAGAAUUGCUCCGAAAAUUUCGGGAGCGACUACUUUUUGGCAAGGUUGCCAGCACCUUGGGCAGAGUUGCUAGCACCUUGGCUGGGCCGGUGCCGAAAGUCCGAAAAUUUUCCGACCCGAAAAAAAUAAUAAAAAAUACGAGCGCGUAGGAAAUUGAAUUUGGCACAGUGGUUGUCGGGGCCGUUUUCUCAUAUUUCGAGAAUUGCUCUGAAAACGUCGGGAGCGACUAGUUUUUGGCAAGGUUGCUAGCACCUUGGGCAGAGUUGCUAGCACCUUGGCUGGGCCUGUGCCGAAAGUCUGAAAAUUUUCCGACCCGGAAAAAAUAAUAAAAAAUACGAGCGCGUAGGAAAUUGAAUUUGGCACGGUGGUUGUCGGGGCCGUUUUCUCAGAUUUCGAGAAUUGCUCCGAAAACGUCAGGAGAUACUAGUUUUUGGCAAGGUUGCUAGCACCUUGGCUGGGCCGGUGCUGAAUGUCCGAAAAUUUUCCCACCCGAAAAAAAUAAUAAAAAAUACGAGCGCGUAGGAAAUUGAAUUUGGCACGGUGGUUGUCGGGGCCGUUUUCUCCGAUUUCGAGAAUUGCUCCGAAAACGUCGGGAGCGACUAGUUUUUGGCAAGGUUGCUAGCACCUUUGGCAGAGUUGCUAGCACCUUGGCUGGGCCUGUGCCGAAAGUCUGAAAAUUUUCCGACCCGGAAAAAAUAAUAAAAAAUACGAGCGCGUAGGAAAUUGAAUUUGGCACGGUGGUUGUCGGGGCCGUUUUCUCCGAUUUCGAAUAUUGCUCCGAAAACGUCGGGAGCGACUAGUUUUUGGCAAGGUUGCUAGCACCUUGGGCAGAGUUGCUAGCACCUUGGCUGGGCCUGUGCCGAAAGUCUGAAAAUUUUACGACCCGGAAAAAAUAAUAAAAAAUACGAGCGCGUAGGAAAUUGAAUUUGGCACGGUGGUUGUCGGGGCCGUUUUCUCAGAUUUCGAGAAUUGCUCCGAAAAUUUCGGGAGCGACUAGUUUUUGGCAAGGUUGCUAGCACCUUGGGCAGAGUUGCUAGCACCUUGGCUGGGCCGGUGCCGAAAGUCUGAAAAUUUUCCGACCCGGAAAAAAUAAUAAAAAAUACGAGCGCGUAGGAAAUUGAAUUUGGCACAGUGGUUGUCGGGGCCGUUUUCUCAGAUUUCGAGAAUUGCUCCUAAAACGUGAGAGCGACUAGUUUUUGGCAAGGUUGCUAGCACCUUGGGUAGAGUUGCUAGCACCUUGGCUGGGCCGGUGCCGAAAGUCUGAAAAUUUUCCGACCCGGAAAAAAUAAUAAAAAAUACGAGCGCGUAGGAAAUUGAAUUUGGCACGGUGGUUGUCGGGGCCGUUUUCUCAGAUUUCGAGAAUUGCUCCGAAAACGUCAGGAGAUACUAGUUUUUGGGAAGGGUUGCUAGCACCUUGCUGGGGCCGGUGCCGAUAGUCCGAAAAUUCUUCCACCCUGAAAAAAAUAAUUACAAAUACUAGUGUUUUAGGAAAAUGAAUUUGGCACGGUGGUUGUCGGGGCCGUUUUCUCCGAUUUCGAAUAUUGCUCCGAAAACGUCGGGAGCGACUAGUUUUUGGCAAGGUUGCUAGCACCUUGGGCAGAGUUGCUAGCACCUUGGCUGGGCCGGUGCCGAAAGUCUGAAAAUUUUCCGACCCGGAAAAAUAAUAAAAAAUACGAGCGCGUAGGAAAUUGAAUUUGGCACGGUGGUUGUCGGGGCCGUUUUCUCAGAUUUCGAGAAUUGCUCCGAAAACGUCAGGAGAUACUAGUUUUUGGCAAGGUUGCUAGCACCUUGGGCAGAGUUGCUAGCACCUUGGCUGGGCCGGUGCCGAUAGUCCGAAUAUUUUCCCACCCGAAAAAAAUAAUAAAAAAUACGAGCGCGUAGGAAAUUGAAUUUGGCACGGUGGUUGUCGGGGCCGUUUUCUCAGAUUUCGAGAAUUGCUCCGAAAACGUCGGGAGCGACUAGUUUUUGGCAAGGUUGCUAGCACCUUGGGCAGAGUUGCUAGCACCUUGGCUGGGCCGGUGCUGAAUGUCCGAAAAUUUUCCGACCCGAAAAAAAUAAUAAAAAAUACGAGCGCGUAGGAAAUUGAAUUUGGCACGGUGGUUGUCGGGGCCGUUUUCUCCGAUUUCGAAUAUUGCUCCGAAAACGUCGGGAGCGACUAGUUUUUGGCAAGGUUGCUAGCACCUUGGGCAGAGUUGCUAGCACCUUGGCUGGGCCUGUGCCGAAAGUCUGAAAAUUUUACGACCCGGAAAAAAUAAUAAAAAAUACGAGCGCGUAGGAAAUUGAAUUUGGCACGGUGGUUGUCGGGGCCGUUUUCUCAGAUUUCGAGAAUUGCUCCGAAAAUUUCGGGAGCGACUAGUUUUUGGCAAGGUUGCUAGCACCUUGGGCAGAGUUACUAGCACCUUGGCUGGGCCGGUGCCGAAAGUUUUAACGCAAUGUCUGUUCACGGAAAAAUAAUAAAAAAUACGAGCGCGUAGGAAAUUGAAUUUGGCACGGUGGUUGUCGGGGCCGUUUUUCUCAGAUUUCGAGAAUUGCUCCGAAAACGUCAGGAGAUACUAGUUUUUGGCAAGGUUGCUAGCACCUUGGCUGGGCCGGUGCUGAAUGUCCGAAAAUUUUCCCACCCGAAAAAAAUAAUAAAAAAUACGAGCGCGUAGGAAAUUGAAUUUGGCACGGUGGUUGUCGGGGCCGUUUUCUCCGAUUUCGAGAAUUGCUCCGAAAUCGUCGGGAGCGACUAGUUUUUGGCAAGGUUGCUAGCACCUUGGGCAGAGUUGCUAGCACCUUGGCUGGGCCUGUGCCGAAAGUCUGAAAAUUUUCCAACCCGGAAAAAAUAAUAAAAAAUACGAGCGCGUAGGAAAUUGAAUUUGGCACGGUGGUUGUCGGGGCCGUUUUCUCCGAUUUCGAAUAUUGCUCCGAAAACGUCGGGAGCGACUAGUUUUUGGCAAGGUUGCUAGCACCUUGGGCAGAGUUGCUAGCACCUUGGCUGUGCCUGUGCCGAAAGUCUUAAAAUUUUACGACCCGGAAAAAAUAAUAAAAAAUACGAGCGCGUAGGAAAUUGAAUUUGGCAUGGUGGUUGUCGGGGCCGUUUUCUCAGAUUUCGAGAAUUGAUCCGAAAAUUUCGGGAGCGACUAGUUUUUGGCAAGGUUGCUAGCACCUUGGGCAGAGUUGCUAGCACCUUGGAUGGGCCGGUGCCGAAAGUCUGAAAAUUUUCCGACCCGGAAAAAAUAAUAAAAAAUACGAGCGCGUAGGAAAUUGAAUUUGGCACGGUGGUUGUCGGGGCCGUUUCUAGAUUUCGAGAAUUGCUCCGAAAACGUCAGGAGAUACUAGUUUUUGGCAAGGUUGCUAGCACCUUGGGCAGUGUUGCUAGCACCUUGGCUGGGCCGGUGCCGAAAGUUCGAAAAUUUUCCGACCCGAAAAAAAUAAUAAAGAAUACGAGCGCUUAGGAAAUUGAAUUUGGCACUGUUGUUGUCGGGGCCNNNNNNNNNNNNNNNNNNNNNNNNNNNNNNNNNNNNNNNNNNNNNNNNNNNNNNNNNNNNNNNNNNNNNNNNNNNNNNNNNNNNNNNNNNNNNNNNNNNNGCACCUUGGCUGGGCCGGUGCCGAAAGUCCGAAAAUUUUCCGACCCGAAAAAAUAAAAAAAAAUACGAGAGCGUUGGAAAUUGAAUUUGGCACAGUGGUUGUCGGGGCUGUUUUCUCAGAUUUCGAGAAUUGCUCCGAAAAUUUCGGGAGCGACUAGUUUUUGGCAAGGUUGCCAGCACCUUGGGCAGAGUUGCUAGCACCUUGGCUGGGCCGGUGCCGAAAGUCUGAAAAUUUUCCGACCCGGAAAAAAUAAUAAAAAAUACGAGCGCGUAGGAAAUUGAAUUUGGCACGGUGGUUGUCGGGGCCGUUUUCUCAGAUUUCGAGAAUUGCUCCGAAAACGUCGGGAGAUACUAGUUUUUGGCAAGGUUGCUAGCACCUUGGGCAGAGUUGCUAGCACCUUGGCUGGGCCGGUGCCGAAAGUCCGAAAAUUUUCCGACCCGAAAAAAAUAAGAAAAAAUACGAGCGUGUAGGAAAUUGAAUUUGGCAUGGUGGUUGUCGGGGCCGUUUUCUAAGAUUUCGAGAAUUGCUCCGAAAACGUUGGGAGCGACUAGUUUUUGGCAAGGUUGCUAGCACCUUGGGCAGAGUUGCUAGCACCUUGGCUGGGCCGGUGCCGAUAGUCCGAAAAUUUUCCGACCCGAAAAAAAUAAUAAAAAAUACCAGCCGCGUAGGAAAUUGAAUUUGGUACGGGGGUUGUCGGGGGCGUUUUCUCAUAUUUCCAGAAUUGCUCCGAAAACGUCANNNNNNNNNNNNNNNNNNNNNNNNNNNNNNNNNNNNNNNNNNNNNNNNNNNNNNNNNNNNNNNNNNNNNNNNNNNNNNNNNNNNNNNNNNNNNNNNNNNNNNNNNNNNNNNNNNNNNNNNNNNNNNNNNNNNNNNNNNNNNNNNNNCGAUUGUGCCGCAGGAGGAUGUGCAAAAGCGGAGCGACUAGUUUUUGGCAAGGUUGCUAGCACCUUGGGUAGAGUUGCUAGCACCUUGGCUGGGCCGGUGCCGAAAGUCUGAAAAUUUUCCGACCCGGAAAAAAUAAUAAAAAAUACGAGCGCGUAGGAAAUUGAAUUUGGCACGGUGGUUGUCGGGGCCGUUUUCUCAGAUUUCGAGAAUUGCUCCGAAAACGUCGGGAGAUACUAGUUUUUGGCAAGGUUGCUAGCACCUUGGGCAGAGUUACUACCACCUUGGCUGGGCCGGUGCCGAAAGUCCGAAAAUUUUCCGACCCGAAAAAAAUAAUAAAAAAUACGAGCGUGUAGGAAAUUGAAUUUGGCAUGGUGGUUGUCGGGGCCGUUUUCUCAGAUUUCGAGAAUUGCUCCGAAAACGUUGGGAGCGACUAGUUUUUGGCAAGGUUGCUAGCACCUUGGGCAGAGUUGCUAGCACCUUGGCUGGGCCGGUGCCGAUAGUCCGAAAAUUUUCCGACCCGAAAAAAAUAAUAAAAAAUACCAGCGCGUAGGAAAUUGAAUUUGGCACGGUGGUUGUCGGGGGCGUUUUCUCAUAUUUCGAGAAUUGCUCCGAAAACGUCAGGAGCGACUAGUUUUUGGCAAGGUUGCUAGCACCUUGGCUGGGCCGGUGCCGAAAGUCCGAAAAUUUUCCGACCCGAAAAAAAUAAUAAAAAAUACGAGCGUAUAGGAAAUUGAAUUUGGCACAGUGGUUGUCGGGGCCGUUUUCUCAGAUUUCGAGAAUUGCUCCGAAAACGUCGGGAGCGACUAGUUUUUGGCAAGGUUGCUAGCACCUUGGGCAGAGUUGCUAGCACCUUGGCUGGGCCUGUGCCGAAAGUCUGAAAAUUUUCCGACCUGGAAAAAAUAAUAAAAAAUACGAGCGCGUAGGAAAUUGAAUUUGGCACGGUGGUUGUCGGGGCCGUUUUCUCCGAUUUCGAAUAUUGCUCCGAAAACGUCGGGAGCAACUAGUUUUUGGCAAGGUUGCUAGCACCUUGGGCAGAGUUGCUAGCACCUUGGCUGGGCCUGUGCCGAAAGUCUGAAAAUUUUCCGACCCGGAAAAAAUAAUAAAAAAUACGAGCGCGUAGGAAAUUGAAUUUGGCACGGUGGUUGUCGGGGCCGUUUUCUCAGAUUUCGAGAAUUGCUCCGAAAAUGUCGGGAGCGACUAGUUUUUGGCAAGGUUGCUAGCACCUUGGGCAGAGUUGCUAGCACCUUGGCUGGGCCGGUGCCGAAAUUCUGAAAAUUUUCCGACCCGGAAAAAAUACUAAACAAUACGAGCGCGUAGGAAAUUGAAUUUGGCACGGUGGUUGUCGGGGCCGUUUUCUCAGAUUUCGAGAAUUGCUCCGAAAACGUCGGGAGAUACUAGUUUUUGGCAAGGUUGCUAGCACCUUGGGCAGAGUUGCUAGCACCUUNNNNNNNNNNNNNNNNNNNNNNNNNNNNNNNNNNNNNNNNNNNNNNNNNNNNNNNNNNNNNNNNNNNNNNNNNNNNNNNNNNNNNNNNNNNNNNNNNNNNNNNNNNNNNNNNNNNNNNNNNNNNNNNNNNNNNNNCGUCGGGAGCGACUAGUUUUUGGCAAGGUUGCUAGCACCUUGGGCAGAGUUGCUAGCACCUUGGCUGGGCCGGUGCUGAAUGUCCGAAAAUUUUCCGACCCGAAAAAAAUAAUAAAAAAUACGAGCGCGUAGGAAAUUGAAUUUGGCACGGUGGUUGUCGGGGCCGUUUUCUCCGAUUUCGAAUAUUGCUCCGAAAACGUCGGGAGCGACUAGUUUUUGGCAAGGUUGCUAGCACCUUGGGCAGAGUUGCUAGCACCUUGGCUGGGCCUGUGCCGAAAGUCUGAAAAUUUUCCGACCCGAAAAAAAAAAAAAAAAAAUACGAGAGCGUAGGAAAUUGAAUUUGGCACGGUGGUUGUCGGGGCCGUUUUCUCCGAUUUCGAGAAUUGCUCCGAAAACGUCGAGAGCGACUAGUUUUUGGCAAGGUUGCUAGCACCUUGGGCAGAGUUGCUAGCACCUUGGCUGGGCCUGUGCCGAAAGUCCGAAAAUUUUCCGACCCGGAAAAAAUAAUAAAAAAUACGAGCGCGUAGGAAAAUGAUUUUGGCAAGGUGGUUGUCGGGGCCGUUUUCUCAGAUUUCGAGAAUUGCUCCGAAAACGUCGGGAGAUACUAGUUUUUGGCAAGGUUGCCAGCACCUUGGGCAGAGUUGCUAGCACCUUGGCUGGGCCGGUGCCGAAAGUCCGAAAAUUUUACGACCCGAAAAAAAUAAUAAAAAAUACGAGCGCGUAGGAAAUUGAAUUUGGCACAGUUGUUGUCGGGGCCGUUUUCUCAUAUUUCGAGAAUUGCUCCGAAAACGUCGGGAGCGACUAGUUUUUGGCAAGGUUGCUAGCACCUUGGGCAGAGUUGCUAGCACCUUGGCUGCGCCGGUGCCGAAAGUCUGAAAAUUUUCCAACCCGGAAAAAAUAAUAAAAAAUACGAGCGCGUAGGAAAUUGAAUUUGGCACCGUGGUUGUCGGGGCCGUUUUCUCAGAUUUCGAGAAUUGCUCCGAAAACGUCCGGAGCGACUAGUUUUUGGCAAGGUUGCUAGCACCUUGGGUAGAGUUGUUAGCACCUUGGUUGGGCCGGUGCCGAAAGUCUGAAAAUUUUCCGACCCGGAAAAAAUAAUAAAAAAUACGAGCGCGUAGGAAUUUGAAUUUGGCACGGUGGUUGUCGGGGCCGUUUUCUCAGAUUUCGAGAAUUGCUCCGAAAACGUCGGGAGAUACUAGUUUUUGGCAAGGUUGCUAAGCACCUUGGGCAGAGUUGUAGCACCUUGGCUGGGCCGGUGCCGAUAGUCCGAAAAUUUCCGACCCGAAAAAAUAUAAUAAAAAAUACCAGCGCGUCCGAAACAGGUUUAGGCAGCACGGUGGUUGUCGGGGCCGUUUUCUCAUAUUUCGAGAAUUGCUCCGAAAACGUCGGGAGCGACUAGUUUUUGGCAAGGUUGCUAGCACCUUGGGCAGAGUUGCUAGCACCUUGGCUGGGCCGGUGCCGAAAGUCUGAAAAUUUUCCGACCCGGAAAAAAUAAUAAAAAAUACGAGCGCGUAGGAAAUUGAAUUUGGCACGGUGGUUGUCGGGGCCGUUUUCUCAGAUUUCGAGAAUUGCUCCGAAAACGUCGGGAGCGACUAGUUUUUGGCAAGGUUGCUAGCACCUUGGGCAGAGUUGCUAGCACCUUGGCUGGGCCGGUGCUGAAUGUCCGAAAAUUUUCCGACCCGAAAAAAAUAAUAAAAAAUACGAGCGCGUAGGAAAUUGAAUUUGGCACCGUGGUUGUCGGGGCCGUUUUCUCAGAUUUCGAGAAUUGCUCCGAAAACGUUGGGAGCGACUAGUUUUUGGCAAGGUUGCUAGCACCUUGGGCAGAGUUGCUAGCACCUUGGCUGGGCCGGUGCCGAUAGUCCGAAAAUUUUCCGACCCGAAAAAAAUAAUAAAAAAUACGAGCGCGUAGGAAAUUGAAUUUGGCACGGUGGUUGUCGGGGCCGUUUCUCAGAUUUCGAGAAUUGCUCCGAAAACGUCGGGAGCGACUAGUUUUUGGCAAGGUUGCUAGCACCUUGGGCAGAGUUGCUAGCACCUUGGCUGGCCCGGUGCUGAAUGUCCGAAAAUUUUCCGACCCGAAAAAAAUAAUAAAAAAUACGAGCGCGUAGGAAAUUGAAUUUGGCACGGUGGUUGUCGGGGCCGUUUUCUCCGAUUUCGAGAAUUGCUCCGAAAACGUCGGGAGCGACUAGUUUUUGGCAAGGUUGCUAGCACCUUGGGCAGAGUUGCUAGCACCUUGGCUGGGCCUGUGCCGAAAGUCUGAAAAUUUUCCGACCCGGAAAAAAUAAUAAAAAAUACGAGCGCGUUGCAAAUUGAAUUUGGCACGGUGGUUGUCGGGGCCGUUUUUUCAGAUUUCGAGAAUUGCUCCGAAAACGUCGGGAGAUACUAGUUUUUGGCAAGGUUGCUAGCACCUUGGGCAGGGUUGCUAGCACCUUGGCUGGGCCGGUGCCGAAAGUCCGAAAAUUUUCCGACCCGAAAAAAAUAAUAAAAAAUACGAGCGUGUAGGAAAUUGAAUUUGGCACGGUGGUUGUCGCGGCCGUUUUCUCAGAUUUCGAGAAUUGCUCCGAAAACGUUGGGAGCGACUAGUUUUUGGCAAGGUUGCUAGCACCUUGGGCAGAGUUGCUAGCACCUUGGCUGGGCCGGUGCCGAUAGUCCGAAAAUUUUCCGACACGAAAAAAAUAAUAAAAAAUACGAGCGCGUAGGAAAUUGAAUUUGGCACGGUGGUUGUCGGGGCCGUUUUCUCAGAUUUCGAGAAUUGCUCCGAAAACGUUGGGAGCGACUAGUUUUUGGCAAGGUUGCUAGCACCUUGGGCAGAGUUGCUAUCACCUUGGCUGGGCCGGUGCCGAUAGUCCGAAAAUUUUCCGACCCGAAAAAAAUAAUAAAAAAUACCAGCGCGUAGGAAAUUGAAUUUGGCACGGUGGUUGUCGGGGCCGUUUUCUAAGAUUUCGAGAAUAUCUCCGAAAACGUCGGGAGCGACUAGUUUGGGCAAGGCAUGUUGUGAGGGAACAAUAAGUCGAUGAACAAUGAUAAAUUUUUUCAACGUACCUUUUUCUACGAAGAUGAUAUCGUCACGUUCACUUGUUGGGGGGGGGGGGGGGGGGGUUAUGAUUCCACGGAGAAUGGUUAUGUUUUUCGGUGUAGUAACGAGCUUUGGUGUUUUUUUCACUAUUUUAACGAAUAUAUUUAGUUAAAAUAAUGAAUAAAUAGAAAUUAAAUAAUAAAAGUACCCGAAUAAUAUAAAUAAUAAUUACUAUUUCGUAAAAGAACUAUCCACAGUACCUUUCUCUAUUUAUUAUCUAUUUUACUGUAUUUCUUGAAUUAAAAUAAUAAACAAAUAUAAUUAAAAACCAGAAAAAUAAAAUAAAAUUUCAAGAACUCUUGAAUAAUCAACAGGAACAAAUUGGCAUAACUUUCGUGAUUUUUAAAAUAUAUUUCGAUAUUUUUCUCUAUUUAUUAUCUAUUUUAUUGUAUUUUUUUGAAUUAAAAUAAUAAAAAAUAUAAUUACAAACCAGAAAAAUAAAAAAAAAAUUCAACAAUUAUUAUAAUAUCAACAGGAACUAUUUGGCAUAAUUUUCGUGAUUUUUAAAAUGUAUAUUGAUAUUUUUCCCUAUUUAUUUGGUAAUUAAAAUUAUUUUUGAAUGAAAAAAUUAAAUAAAAAUAAUUACAAGUCGGAAAAAUAAAAUUCCAGUUUCUACGGGUAGAUAAUAAUAUAAUUAAUGUUAGAAAAAUAUUUGGUUAAAAAAUAAGUUGAAUAAGAUAUAAAAUAUUGAGAAAUAAAAAAGUUGCUUCCCUCGGCAUUUUCAAUGUCUAGUGGUCAUUUGGCUGAUUUUGUCCAUUUCACUACUAUAGGGGGGGAGGUGUCCAAGGAGGGUGCUAGGCCAAGGUGCUAGCAACUUUGCCCAAGGUGCUAGCAACUUGGGCAAAGUUGCUAGCAACUUUGGCAAAAGAGGGCCUGUCGCGCCCCCCUGCGGCAGGAAUGGUGGGCCAGUGGUGGCGGGCGGGCGGCACCACCACCCAACGGCAACGGCGCUCCGGCGGCAGCGACGGCGGUCGGUCGGAAAAAAAAAAAAAAAUUUGUUUUUUUUUUAUUAGUCCCUUUGGGAAGAGGCCCGAUAAAGAAAGAUGUCGGAUAAAGAAAGAUGCCCGAAUAAAGAAAGAUGCCGAAUAAAGAAGGUUGCUUGUCGCAAAUAAAGAAGUUGGCUUGUCGGUAAUCAAGAUGUUUCUUCCUAGUCAAUAUUGAGGCCGGUGCGGUGCUUCGGCGAAGCCCGGCAACAUGCAUUCUUACGGGUUGGUAUGGUAUGAUAAUUUGUGCUCGUCGGACCAUCGUUGGGUGGAGUUCGUUCGAAGUCAGCCCCCGAUAGGCGAUUGGAGUGUGAUACGGCUGUCGUUGCGUUGUGGGAUGGCUCUCAUCUGAAAAUGGCGUGGGUAGUACGAGUUAUGCUUCGAACCGCACUCUCUCGAGGAAGUGAGUUGUCUUUCGGGCAACAAUGUUGGUUUGCACGUUGCCUAACGGGAAAGGUUGUCUCGCUCGUUCCCUACUCCGUGAUGCAUGAUGUGCAUGAUGAUUUGUGGCUCUCGAGCGAAUCGGUGCUAGUAGGCGAUGGGAAUAUAGGCGAUGCGUUGCUAUACGGCUGUCGGUGCUUCGUGGGAUGGCUCUCAUUCGAAAAUGGUGCGGGUAACGAGUUCUGCUUGAACCCUGCUCUGUCGAGAAAGAGAGUUGUCUUUCGGGCAGCGCCUGUUGGUUGGCAUGGUUGCCUGAAUGUUGCGGUGCUCACUGGAAGUUUAGCUCGAACCACAACUCAAGGUUGGAUAUUCAGGAAUGCAUGUUGUCGGUGCCCGUUGGAAUGUUUCGCUCGGACUCACUCGGUGAUGGAAUGUUCCUCGGAAUAAGACCACAUAAGUUGGUGGUGGU
rnacentral:lncRNA from 1 species